GACGAACGCUGGCGGCGUGCUUUAUACAUGCAAGUCGAACGAUGAAGUUCCUUCGGGAAUGGAUUAGUGGCGAACGGGUGAGGAACACGUGAGAAACCUGCCUUUCAUUCUGGGAUAACACCGGGGAACCGGUGCUAAUACCGGAUACUCCGUCUUGGCGGCAUCGCCGAGCCGGGAAAAAAUUUUGAUGAAAGAUGGUCUCGCGGCCUAUCAGCUAGUUGGUGAGGUAAUGGCUCACCAAGGCGACGACGGGUAGCCGGCCUGAGAGGGCGACCGGCCAAACUGGGACUGAGACACGGCCCAGGCUCCUACGGGAGGCAGCAGUAGGAAAUAUUGGGCAAUGGGCGCAAGCCUGACCCAGCGACGCCGCGUGAGGGAUGAAGGUCUUCGGAUUGUAAACCUCUUUCAGUAGGGAAGAAGCGAAAGUGACGGUACCUAAAGAAGAAGCACCGGCUAACUAUGUGCCAGCCGCCGCAGUAA
rnacentral:rRNA from 1 species